CUCCUUGGCAGUGACUUAAACAUGAUCACCUUGGCAACCGAUAAGAACACCCCGAAUCUAAACCAUCGCAUCAUGAAUCGAUUCCGAUGUUUCAUUGUUGAUGAGGAGCUCCACAAUAUUUACCUGCACGGGCGCCGCUACACUUGGUCUAGUGAGCGUGACACGCCAACUCUCGUGCGCAACGACAGGAUCCUGUGUACUUCCGGAUGGGAGGUCACACACCCAUACUACCUCUUACACUGCCUCUCCUCCGCGGCGUCCGACCAUUGCCCGUUGGUGGUGGAUUGCGCUGCUCGCCCCGCGGGGGCGCGUAGGUUUCAUUUUGAGCAUUUUUGGCCGAAGCUAGACGGCUUCCAUGACACGGUCUCGGUGAAGGAAAUAUGCCCUAGAGGCAAUAAUAAAGUUAUUAUUUAUUUCCUUAUUUCAUGA
rnacentral:rRNA from 1 species